UACGUAGGUGGCGAGCGUUGUCCGGAAUUAUUGGGCGUAAAGCGCGCGCAGGCGGUCCUUUAAGUCUGAUGUGAAAGCCCACGGCUCAACCGUGGAGGGUCAUUGGAAACUGGGGGACUUGAGUGCAGAAGAGGAGAGUGGAAUUCCACGUGUAGCGGUGAAAUGCGUAGAGAUGUGGAGGAACACCAGUGGCGAAGGCGACUCUCUGGUCUGUAACUGACGCUGAGGCGCGAAAGCGUGGGGAGCGAACAGG
rnacentral:rRNA from 1 species